rnacentral:rRNA from 1 species
GAUGAACGCUGGCGGCGUGCCUAAUACAUGCAAGUCGAGCGAACAGACGAGGAGCUUUCUCCUCUGACGUUAGCGGCUGACGGGUGAGUAACACGUGGAUAACCUACCUAUAAUACUGGGAUAACUUCGGGAAACCGGAUCUAAUACCGGAUAAUAUAUUGAACCGCAUGGUUCAAUAGUGAAAGACGGUUUUGCUGUCACUUAUAGAUGGAUCCGCGCCGCAUUAGCUAGUUGGUAAGGUAACGGCUUACCAAGGCGACGAUGCGUAGCCGACCUGAGAGGGUGAUCGGCCACACUGGAACUGAGACACGGUCCAGACUCCUACGGGAGGCAGCAGUAGGGAAUCUUCCGCAAUGGGCGAAAGCCUGACGGAGCAACGCCGCGUGAGUGAUGAAGGUCUUCGGAUCGUAAAACUCUGUUAUUAGGGAAGAACAAAUGUGUAAGUAACUAUGCACGUCUUGACGGUACCUAAUCAGAAAGCCACGGCUAACUACGUG